AACGAACGCUGGCGGCAUGCCUAACACAUGCAAGUCGAACGAGACCUUCGGGUCUAGUGGCGCACGGGUGCGUAACGCGUGGGAACCUGCCCUUAGGUUCGGAAUAACUCCCCGAAAGGGGUGCUAAUACCGGAUAAUGUCUUCGGACCAAGGAUUUAUCGCCUUUGGAUGGGCCCGCGUUGGAUUAGCUAGUUGGUAGGGUAAAAGCCUACCAAGGCGACGAUCCAUAGCUGGUCUGAGAGGAUGAUCAGCCACACUGGGACUGAGACACGGCCCAGACUCCUACGGGAGGCAGCAGUUGGGAAUAUUGGACCAUGGGCGAAAGCCUUAUCCAGCAAUGCCGCGUGAGUGAUGAAGGCCUUAGGGUUGUAAAGCUCUUUUACCCGGGAUGAUAAUGACAGUACCGGGAGAAUAAGCUCCGGCUAACUCCGUG
rnacentral:rRNA from 1 species